UCUGAAAAAGAAACCCCACAAGUUUCCACGAAGCAACAGAUUCUUGAAUUUGUGAAUUUAAUUUCUGUGACCGUGUAUGAGUAAGAAUGACUUCUGACUUCUCUACUCUGUAGUGUCAUAAAUCCAUUUUGAAUGAAACUGUCGCUUGUUUUAUAGAUAAUAAUACAUAUUACAUUUUUAUUAAUACAUUAUAUGAUUAUGAUUGAAAUAUUACAUCAUUAUCAAUUUUAUAGAUAUAACAACACCGGCCACCGCAAAACACAAACAAUUGUAAUCUAUUGAAUACCUUUUCCGGAAGUUAGGGUUUCAAUGUCCCAGAACUAGGGGAUAAGAUCAAACUAAGCAAACAUUGCAUAUGCAUAUAUGUAACUCUUUUUAGUCACCUAUCAAGUGCUGAUAUUGGAGGUGUCUCAGUAGAAUUGUAGCCUUGCCAUUGUGGCAGGUAGUUGACCUGGCAUGUCAUCUGUAUUUUGUUCACGUUGGACGUAUAAUACUACUUCACAAUGUGGCCAAUGUGACGACUCUUCUUCAAUAUGCUGCUCAAUACCCAAUUAUCCCCAAACUUCUCUAAGGCUGUGGGACUCCUUAUGCGUGGUUGACCUCAUUGCCAGGUAGACCAAAACAUGCCUUUCUUCCCCGCUGACAUAUACCUUUGUUAGAUGUGCUUCCCCCCUUUUAACCCGCGUGAAUGUAUACAUAUUGCGCCGUUCUAGGUAAGGUCUACUGCCGCGUGUCACACCGCUGUCCUAUGGAGGUAGAUUUGUGUCUUUAUUAUGCAAUCAAAAAUAAUAGGUUUGAGAGCAAAACUUUCCACACUGCAAUCAAAAAAUAGAUUUGAGAGCAAAACUAUCGACACUGCAAUCAAAAAAUGUUUUAUUGCAAGAUAAAUUAAUGUGACAAAAAAAUAUUAAUGGGAAUCCAAAAGUUUUGUUUGCAAACCCAAAAGUUUUGUUUGCAAAUCCAAAAGUUUUGUUUGCGAAUCCAAAAGUUUUGUUUGCGAAUCAAAAAGCUUUGUUUGCGAAUCCUAAAGUUUUGCUUGCGAAUCCAAAAGCUUUGCUUGCUGUUGAGCUGAAUCUCGUGGGCGGAACCUACGCCGAAAGAUGUAAGAUACGUCUCUAUUGGCCAGUCUCGAUCGGAGUGACAGCUUGGCAACAUCCACAGUUAGUAACGAGAGAGGGAGUUCUAUUUCAUGUAGGCUACGCCGUCUAGGCUUCGCCUUAUGGGCUUGUCCCGUGCGCGCGCAUGCGCGCCCUGAAAAUUCCGUAGGCCUCCCUGUCAGCCGACAAGGAGACCAUGGCAGAGGAGAGCAGGGCGAUGUUGUUGACCGCCGCCGCGGAUUGAGAGGCACAAACGAACACCCUGUCCGUCAGGCCGACAAUCCGCUUCUGGAGGCGGUCGGGGGGAAGUGGCUUUUCGGAUGUUGCCAAGCUGUCACUCCGAUCGAGACUGGCCAAUAGAGACGUGUCUUACAUCUUUCGGCGUAGGUCCCGCCCACGAGAUUCAGCUCAACACCAAGCAAAGCUUUUGGAUUCGCAAGCAAAACUUUAGGAUUCGCAAACAAAGCUUUUUGAUUCGCAAACAAAACUUUUGGAUUCGCAAACAAAACUUUUGGAUUUGCAAACCAAACUUUUGGGUUUGCAAACAAAACUUUUGGAUUCCCAUUAAUAUUUUUUUAUCACAUUAAUUUAUCUUGCAAUAAAACAUUUUUUGAUUGCAGUGUCGAUAGUUUUGCUCUCAAAUCUAUUUUUUGAUUGCAGUGUGGAAAGUUUUGCUCUCAAACCUAUUUUUUGAUUGCAGUGUGGAAAGUUUUGCUCUCAAACCUAUUAUUUUUGAUUGCAUAAUAAAGACACAAAUCUACCUCCAUACUGUCCAUGAACGGCAUCGAGCAAGGGUGGGUCUAAUCUGGAUGGCUGCAACGUAACGCACGUAACACCCCCGUCUCACGGACGAUACAUUGAGACACAUUGGUCUUGUUACAUUCAC